rnacentral:rRNA from 1 species
AAUGAUCUGUCUUGAUUAAAGAUAUUGAAUUUAACUUUUAAGUGAAAAGGCUUAAAUGAUCUGAAGGGACGAUAAGACCCUAUAAAACUUUAUAUUUAGGAGUAGAAAUUAUUUUUAUUUAAAGGUUACUAUUUUAUAGUAUUUGGUUGGGGCGACAGGGAUAGAAGAAAAAAUAACUGUCUUUUUUUUUUACAAUAAUAUUUGGUUUAAUGAUCCUAAAAUGGAUUUAAGAUUAAGUUACUUUAGGGAUAACAGCGUAAUUUUCUUUAAGAGUUCUUAUCGACAGGAAAGUUUGCGACCUCGAUGUUGAAUUAAAGGUUCUUUAUAGAGUAGAAACUAUAAUAGAAG